rnacentral:rRNA from 1 species
GCUAAGAAUCUUCCGCAAUGGGGGAAACCCUGACGGAGCGACGCCGCGUGGAUGAUGAAGGCCGUAAGGUUGUAAAAUCCUUUUGCAGGUGAAGAAUAAGGGGGGGAGUGGAAAGCCCCCGCGAUGACGUUAGCCUGCGAAUAAGCCCCGGCCAAUUACGUGCCAGCAGCCGCGGUAAUACGUAUGGGGCAAGCGUUGUUCGGAGUUAUUGGGCGUAAAGGGCGUGUAGGCGGCUUUUCGCGUCUGGUGUGAAAUCUCCGGGCCCAACCCGGAGCACGCGCUGGAAACGGGAAGGCUUGAGUUCUGGGGGGGAAGCUGGAAUUCCUGGUGUAGGAGUGAAAUCUGUAGAUAUCAGGAGGAACACCGGUGGCGAAGGCGGGCUUCUACUCAAGGACUGACGCUGAGGCGCGAAAGCGUGGGGAGCAAACAGGAUUAGAAACCCGGGUAGUCC